AAAUGAAUAGACGGGGGCCCGCACAAGCGGUGGAGCAUGUGGUUUAAUUCGAAGCUACGCGAAGAACCUUACCAGGUCUUGACAUCUUGCGCCAACCCUAGAGAUAGGGCGUUUCCUUCGGGAACGCAAUGACAGGUGGUGCAUGGUCGUCGUCAGCUCGUGUCGUGAGAUGUUGGGUUAAGUCCCGCAACGAGCGCAACCCUUGUUACUAGUUGCCAGCAUUCAGUUGGGCACUCUAGUGAGACUGCCGGUGACAAACCGGAGGAAGGUGGGGACGACGUCAGAUCAUCAUGCCCCUUAUGACCUGGGCUACACACGUGCUACAAUGGACGGUACAACGAGUCGCGAACUCGCGAGGGCAAGCUAAUCUCUUAAAACCGUUCUCAGUUCGGACUGCAGGCUGCAACUCGCCUGCACGAAGUCGGAAUCGCUAGUAAUCGCGGAUCAGCAUGCCGCGGUGAAUACGUUCCCGGGCCUUGUACACACCGCCCGU
rnacentral:rRNA from 1 species